UCAAACUUCUCUGUCAUCACACAGAUGAUGUACUCUGGCAUCUUUACACCUGCCCUGAUCUUGGCUAUCUUUCUGUUCCGCUUCCUAUAUUCCUUCAGCAACAUUUCCAUCUUUUUGUCAUCACAGGGGCUGCUGAUUAUCAAACCUGCUAAAGCUGAUGUAUGUGGACACAGAGCUUUGAAUUUUAUGAACCAGGAGAAAACCAUAAGACAGGGAAACGAGGCACUUCACCGAUGUUGCAAGAAGUAAACAAAUGCACUUGAAGUCCAGAGACCACAUGUUUACCCGGUAUUGCUCCAAAUUCUGCCAUUGUCUUUAUUUCAUGCUGCAUUUCUUGCACUGUCUCUAUGGACUUUUGAGAGGACUUAGUGAGGACCUAGUACUUAAGAAGCUCAUUCCAUCCUGGUGACGAUGAAGAAACAUAACUCUACAGCACCUCCUUGUAUUUAUUCUCUUAAAAGUUCCAUUAAGACUAAUUUCCAGUGAUUGCUCA